AAAUAUUUUACCUGACUCGCAGGAAGGGGAAGUCCCACUGCUUUGCCUGUUUUGGAUAGGUGGCAUCAGUUAAACUAAACCUUUCAUAAACUACUGAUACAUCAGUGGUUUCUUGUUACAUAGAAUGAACAGUAUUCACCAGAAUAAUAUCCUGACUAGCAAACACAUCAAUUGCCACUCAAUGUUCUAAGUGUUAUGAGUAAAAUAAAAACUGAAUAAAGAUUUUGCCCUCAGGAUGUUUAUGUUCUCCUACGUGAGAAAGAUAAUUAAAAAUACAAAAUAUAAUAUCAAUUUUUGAAUCAUAAGUGUUACGCAGAAAGUGAAUUAGGGUAAAUUUCCAUGCUUGUAGUUUUGCUUAUGGUUUACUAUUUGUAUUCAUUUUUUAGGACUGUCAUACAAAAUACCACAAACUGGGUAGCUUAAAACAUCAAAAGCUUAUUCUCUCAGUUUUGGAGGUCAGAAAUUCAAAAUCAAGAUGUUAGCAAUACCAUGCUCCCUCUGAAACCUGAAGGAGAGAAUCUUUCUUUACCUCUUGUUUUCAGGUGCCAGUUAUCAAUUCUUGGCACAUUUUUUGGCAGGCAACUGCAUCAGUUUGUGACUCUGUCAUCACAGGACAUUCUCCCUAUAUGUAUGUAUCUCUGUGCCCAAUUCUUAUAAGGACAGCACUCACCUGACCUCAUCUUAACUAGUGACAUCUGCAAUAGCUCUAUUAUCAAAUAAGUUCACAUUUUAAGGUACUGGAGUUUAGCACUUCAUUGUAUCUUUUGAAGAGACACAAUUAAGCUCAUAUGUAAUAAAUAUUAGUAUUCAAAUUAAGUAUAUCCUACACUUAAAAUAUACUGAUAAAAUAAUUUGUAAUUUCUAAAGACCUCAUAAUCAUACAAUCAAUAUUUAUAACAGAUUUCUCUUCAUUUUGUUAUCUAUAAAUCUGUAUUUUUGUUUUUAGUUACAACCAUGACAUCCCCAGAAAGCUUUUCUAUACAGAGAAGUGGCUCUGAAACUGUUAUCAACAUCUAAACUUUUGUAAAAAUUGAAACUAUUGUAAUUUCAAUUUACCUGAAGAAUGUUUUCUUUUGAUGUAUUUGAAUUGAGUAUCCCUGUGAUUGACAGGAUGAAAUGUUUAUGAAAUAGAUCAAUAUUGCUCAUUGUGAUAUUCAUCAUUGAAUAAUUAUAUUUUUAUUUUGUCAAUUCUGAGUUAUUUGGAAACAAAAAUCCACA
rnacentral:lncRNA from 10 species